CAGCGCCACGCCGCCACCCCCCAUCCCUCGCCGUUCCCCUCGGGCUCUCUUCCCCCUCCCCCUCCUCUCGCGCUGCCUGCCUUUAAUUCGGGGGCCGCGCACGCCGCACGCCCUCCCGUCCCGUCUCCGAGUCUCUCCUCCCUCCCUCAGCGGCGCCGGCACGGUGGCUAGGCUAGUCUGAUCCCCGUGCUUGCCUUGUCUAGGCCCUUCUCCUUCUAGAUCCCGGCCGCGCGCGGCUAGCACGCAGCUCCUGCGCCUAGAGCUAUAAACGCACGGCCUCUCCUAAAUAAUCGGCAUCCUCUCGCUUGCUGCUGCCGAGAGGCGGGUUGUGUUCAAGUAGUGUUCAACUCGGUUUAGGAAUCGAGCCGGACGGCGAGGUUGCUAAAGCUACAAGCUUCUGCGGCACAGCGUCGUCGAGGAGAAGCUCGCUCGCUUCUGCGGGAGGAAGGUCUAGGCAGCAGCGGUGGUGUGGUGGUGAGGGCGAGCCCCGGCGAGGAAGGAGCAGCUGCUUCGCACAGGCGCGCGAGGAGCGCGGCCGAUCGUGACCGUGAAGCUGGCGGCCGGCAAGUGGUGGGAGCGGCCAGAUGACACGGCCAUGCCCGGAAUGGACCCCGGCGGAGGCGGCAGCUCGCGCUACUUCCAUCAGCUGCUCCGGCCGCAGCAGCCCUCGCCGCUGUCGCCCAACUCCCACGUCAAGAUGGAGCACCACAAGAUGUCGCCAGACAAGAGCCCGGUGGGCGGCGAGGCCGAGCCGGGCGGCAGCGGCAGCGGCAGCGGCGCCGGCGGCGGCGACCAGCCGUCCUCGUCGGCCAUGGUCCCGGCCGAGGGUGGCAGCGGGUCAGGCGGGCCCACGCGGCGCCCGCGCGGGCGCCCGCCGGGCUCCAAGAACAAGCCCAAGCCGCCCAUCAUCGUGACGCGUGACAGCCCCAACGCGCUGCACUCGCACGUCCUCGAGGUCGCGGCCGGCGCAGACGUCGUCGACUGCGUCGCCGAGUACGCGCGCCGCCGGGGCCGCGGCGUGUGCGUGCUCAGCGGCGGGGGCGCCGUCGUGAACGUGGCGCUCAGGCAGCCCGGCGCGUCGCCCCCCGGGAGCAUGGUGGCCACGCUGCGGGGCCGGUUCGAGAUCCUCUCCCUCACCGGCACGGUGCUGCCCCCGCCAGCUCCCCCCGGCGCCAGCGGCCUCACCGUUUUCCUCUCCGGCGGGCAGGGCCAGGUCAUCGGCGGGAGCGUCGUGGGCCCGCUGGUGGCCGCGGGCGCCGUCGUCUUGAUGGCGGCGUCGUUCGCGAACGCCGUGUACGAGCGGCUGCCGCUGGAGGGGGAGGAAGAGGAGACAGCCGCGGCCGCCGCCGGAGCGGAACCGCAAGAUCAAGUGGCGCAGUCGGCGGGACUCCACGGGCAGCAGCCGACUGCCUCCCAGUCCUCUGGUGUGACCGGAGGGGACGUGGGCGGCGGCGGCAUGUCGCUCUACAACCUCGCCGGGAAUGUAGGGGCCUACCAGCUCCCGGGAGACAACUUCGGAGGCUGGAGUGGAGGCGGCGGCGGCGGUGUCCGGCCACAGUUCUGAUCCAUGCCUUGCCACCCCCAAUUCUCAUCGGCGGCAUAUGAAGACGUACAUCACAUAGAUUCAAAUGGUGCACGCAGAAGCUAGGCUUGCUAUCCAGAACUGAGACAUGCAUGCUGGAUUGUUCAUUGGAGAGAUCGACCUUUCAUCUGGGUGCUGCUAGAAUAUAAUGCAUGUGUUUGCACACGGGGAGGAUGCAUUGGAAAUCAUCUGGGCGUUUAAAAAAAGAUAGUAGUGGUGGUUAAUCAAGGGACAAGAGGAAAGCUAUGGAUUCAUGCAAGGCCUAGCUCAAUAAACUGAAAGCCUGCAGUGCAGUGGGGGACACUGGCCAUAAGACGCCAAGCCCAAAAUUGACGCUGCCUGCCUGCCUGGUGGCUGCAGCGACCACAUCUGCCUCUGCGACGGGACGAGAUCCUGCACCUUGCACCCUCCAAGUACAAAUGCACAAUUCUGGAAAAGGGGAGGAAGCUUUCGCUUUUGCAUAAUUUGUGGGGAGGCCGCGGACGACGCCCCCCUCCGGCUUUGGAACUUGCUCAUGGCUUUGUAACUUUUGUCGUUGGAGCUGGAGAUAGGAGUAGAUGCCAAUGCGCCGGGCCAAGAGCCCAGAGCUGGUCAAGGCGUUCUCUCUCCUCUCCCUAGUCACUACUAGGAGUAACACCUCUCUCGUUCCCAUGUCCACUUGUCGACCCGGUACGGUAUGUACACUUUGUAUGUCCCUCUCGAUGGCAAUCCUUUAUCUAAAAAAAUGCAUUAUUGGCAAUAUAUACAUGCUGCAGACAC